rnacentral:sRNA from 1 species
UUCGAAGUGUUUGGGAUAAAUGAAAACAAGAACUUUGUUUGUGUAAGAACAGGGAAUAGCACUGAGAGGACUUUUCAUAAUCGACAAGGAAGGAGUGAUCCAACAUUCCACCAUCAACAAUCUUGGUAUUGGCCGAAGCGUUGAUGAGACAAUGAGAACCCUCCA